rnacentral:rRNA from 1 species
AUUGAACGCUGGCGGCAGGCUUAACACAUGCAAGUCGAACGAGCGGCGGACGGGUGAGUAAUGUCUGGGAAUCUGCCUUAUGGAGGGGGAUAACUACGGGAAACGGUAGCUAAUACCGCGUACCAUCGGAUGUGCCCAAGUGGGAUUAGCUAGUUGGUGGGGUAAUGGCUCACCAAGCCGACGAUCGCUAGCUGGUCUGAGAGGAUGACCAGCCACACUUGGACUGAUACACGGCCCAGACUCCUACGGGAGGCAGCAGGGGGGAAUAUUGCGCAAUGGGGGCAACCUGACGCAGCCAUGCCGCGUGAAUGAAGAAGGCCUUCGGGUUGUAAAGUUCUUUCGGUAGCGAGGCGUUAACUACAGAAGAAGCACCGGCUAACUCCGUGCCAGCCGCCGCGGUAAUUC